UACAGAGGUCUCAAGCGUUGUUCGGAUUCAUUGGGCGUAAAGGGUGUGUAGGUGGCGCGCUAAGUCGGGUGUGAAAUUUCGGAGCUUAACUCCGAAACUGCAUUCGAUACUGGCGUGCUUGAGGACUGGAGAGGAGACUGGAAUUCGAUGGUGUAGCAGUGAAAUGCGUAGAGAUCAUGAGGAAGACCAGUGGCGAAGGCGGGUCUCUGGACG
rnacentral:rRNA from 1 species